UGGGGGAUAUUGCACAAUGGGCGAACGCCUGAUGCAGCGACGCCGCGUGGGGGAUGAAGGCCUUCGGGUUGUAAACUUCUUUUGCUCUGAACAAGGCAUGCCUUUGGGGUGUGUUGAGUGUAGGGGUUGAUUAGCGCCGGCUAACUACGUGCCAGCAGCCGCGGUAAUACGUAGGGCGCGAGCGUUGUCCGGAAUUAUUGGGCGUAAAGGGCUUGUAGGUGGCUGGUUGCGUCUGUCGUGAAAGCUCAUGGCUUAACUGUGGGUUUGCGGUGGGUACGGGCUGGCUUGAGUGCAGUAGGGGAGGCUGGAAUUCCUGGUGUAGCGGUGGAAUGCGCAGAUAUCAGGAGGAAUACCGGUGGCGAAGGCGGGUCUCUGGGCUGUUACUGACGCUGAGGAGCGAAAGCGUGGGGAGCGAACAGG
rnacentral:rRNA from 1 species